rnacentral:rRNA from 1 species
CAAUAGCGUAUAUUUAAGUUGUUGCAGUUAAAAAGCUCGUAGUUGGAUUUCGGAUGGGACUUGCCGGUCCGUCGUUUCGAUGUGCACUGGCCAGUCCUAUCUUGUUGUCGGGGACUAGCUCCUGGGCUUCACUGUCCGGGACUAGGAGCUGACGAGGUUACUUUGAGUAAAUUAGAGUGUUCAAAGCAAACCUACGCUCUGAAUACAUUAGCAUGGAAUAACACGAUAGGACUCUGGCUUAUCUUGUUGGUCUGUGAGACCAGAGUAAUGAUUAAGAGGGACAGUCGGGGGCAUUCGUAUUUCAUUGUCAGAGGUGAAAUUCUUGGAUUUAUGAAAGACGAACUUCUGCGAAAGCAUUUGUCAAGGAUGUUUUCAUUAA